AUUGAACGCUGGCGGCAUGCUUUACACAUGCAAGUCGAGCGGUAACAGGCCGCAAGGUGCUGACGAGUGGCGAACGGGUGAGUAAUGCAUCGGAACGUGCCCAGUCGUGGGGGAUAACGCAGCGAAAGCUGCGCUAAUACCGCAUACGAUCUAUGGAUGAAAGCGGGGGACCGAAAGGCCUCGCGCGAUUGGAGCGGCCGAUGUCAGAUUAGGUAGUUGGUGGGGUAAAGGCCCACCAAGCCAACGAUCUGUAGCUGGUCUGAGAGGACGACCAGCGACACUGGGACUGAGACACGGCCCAGACUCCUACGGGAGGCAGCAGUGGGGAAUUUUGGACAAUGGGCGCAAGCCUGAUCCAGCAAUGCCGCGUGCAGGAAGAAGGCCUUCGGGUUGUAAACUGCUUUUGUACGGAACGAAACGGUCCGGGUUAGUACCCUGGGCUAAUGACGGUACCGUAAGAAUAAGCACCGGCUAACUACGUGCCAGCCGCCGCAGUAACAC
rnacentral:rRNA from 1 species